UACGAAGGGUGCAAGCGUUACUCGGAAUUACUGGGCGUAAAGCGUGCGUAGGCGGUUUGUUAAGUCCGUUGUGAAAGCCCUGGGCUCAACCUGGGAAUUGCAGUGGAUACUGGCGAGCUAGAGUGCGGUAGAGGAUGGUGGAAUUCCCGGUGUAGCGGUGAAAUGCGUAGAGAUCGGGAGGAACACCCGUGGCGAAGGCGGCCAUCUGGACCAGCACUGACGCUGAGGCA
rnacentral:rRNA from 1 species